CAUUUGUGAUUUCUGAAGUAGACUACAUAACCGAGUUGCUUUGUUCCUCCCAUACCAGGGUCCGAGGCUAGCAUGUCAGCUACCACGGCAAGGAAGGAGGCAAGUUUCCCGCUACACUCAUCCUCUGCAGGUAUAUUGUUCUUUAUAGUCUAUAAGAUUAAUAGAAUAUAUGCACGAUUUGGAAUGGCCGACAUUGUAGGAUAAAUUAGUUCUGUAUUAAUUUUGAGGCUCCCUUCUUAUCUUCUGUUUACAAUUACAGUCUGAAACUCUAAAUGUAAUACACAUGCACCAAGCCUUAUUACCAAGAAACACGUGGAAUGUGAGGCGGCGGCGAAGCACUAGCUAGCGCGGGUGCGUCACCUCUGUGGUAUUGUGGGCAAUCACGGUUUUGGUUAGCUCACUGGAAUCAAGUGAGGUGAGAAUAUCGAUCUUCCAGACACCUAUUUCUUCUUGCAAAUUAGAAAAGGGAGGUUGAGACAUCAUUUCCAUUUCCCUAUUUCUCUAAUCUGUAGGGUAGUAAGAUAACGACGAAUGUGGCAGCGAGAAAUGAUGGUUCUCCUGAUCUUCCUUUCUGUGGUAUCUUCUAAGGCAUCCCUAAUAUGUCUCUUUUGGUUCUUAAAUGAUUCUUGCUAUGAAUAGUUCAUCUCCUAAAUAUAUCUUAAUUGUGUUUGUCUCUAGGAGCGCGACAUCGUAACCCAGAUAAGUUCUUUCCAGAUUUAGAUAUUUAGCUCAACAUUAAAAUCGCAACUUCAUGAGAUUUUAAACCUGAAGGGAGAGCACUACGUAGCGUUCCUAUUUGAUAGCUCUCUUUGUCAUAUCUCAUUUGAUAGCUACAUCCAUGCCGGUGCUAAAUGCUUUUUACUUGUUUGCUCUGCUGAAAUUGAGCUGAACUACACUUCUAAAACUUUGUAGCUAUAUGUGAGCCUCCCACUAAUUUUUUGACAGUUGCUUCGUUAGGUACACUCAUCAUUCAUGGUUUUUUAUUACAGUUUCUUAGCAUACAUGAUAUGCUUACCAACAGGUUCGUGGUACUACUGUCUUCAAACAUUUCAAAGCUUAAGACAUGGCAAACUGAUGAUUGGAAAACUUUAUGAUGCUAUCACCAAUUCAUUUUAAGCAUACAUGUAUAGCAGUUCUUAAUGCGGAUGAUUUAAGGUACUAAGUGAUGUUCUAACAUACUUCGCACUUACCUAUGUUGUUUUACAUAUGCCCAUUAUUUUCUAUUCAUGUUACCUAAGGUAUUUCCCGCUGACAAGUUAUUUUCUUUGUGAUUAUUAGGUUCCAAACCUGCUGUUUGAUGUUGCUGGUAUUAUGUUUGGUCAAUGUUAUACCUUCUGGGAGUUCUUCUUUGCAACUUUGAUUGGGAAGACCAG
rnacentral:lncRNA from 1 species